CGGCAGGCCUAACACAUGCAAGUCGAGCGGUAGCACAGGAGAGCUUGCUCUCCGGGUGACGAGCGGCGGACGGGUGAGUAAUGUCUGGGAAACUGCCUGAUGGAGGGGGAUAACUACUGGAAACGGUAGCUAAUACCGCAUAACGUCGCAAGACCAAAGUGGGGGACCUUCGGGCCUCAUGCCAUCAGAUGUGCCCAGAUGGGAUUAGCUAGUAGGUGGGGUAAUGGCUCACCUAGGCGACGAUCCCUAGCUGGUCUGAGAGGAUGACCAGCCACACUGGAACUGAGACACGGUCCAGACUCCUACGGGAGGCAGCAGUGGGGAAUAUUGCACAAUGGGCGCAAGCCUGAUGCAGCCAUGCCGCGUGUAUGAAGAAGGCCUUCGGGUUGUAAAGUACUUUCAGCGAGGAGGAAGGCAUUAAGGUUAAUAACCUUAGUGAUUGACGUUACUCGCAGAAGAAGCACCGGCUAACUCCGUGCCAGCAGCCGCGGUAAUACGGAGGGUGCAAGCGUUAAUCGGAAUUACUGGGCGUAAAGCGCACGCAGGCGGUUUGUUAAGUCAGAUGUGAAAUCCCCGGGCUCAACCUGGGAACUGCAUUUGAAACUGGCAAGCUUGAGUCUUGUAGAGGGGGGUAGAAUUCCAGGUGUAGCGGUGAAAUGCGUAGAGAUCUGGAGGAAUACCGGUGGCGAAGGCGGCCCC
rnacentral:rRNA from 1 species